rnacentral:rRNA from 1 species
GACGAACGCUGGCGGCGUGCUUAACACAUGCAAGUCGAGCGGAGCGGCGAAUGGGUGAGUAACGCGUGAGUAACUGCCCCCCUCUCUGGGAUAACAGUUGGAAACGGGUGCUAAUACCGGAUAGUGGGGGAUGACUUGUGUCCUAUCGGCGUGUUGGUGGGGUAGUGGCCUAUCAAGGGGACGACGGGUAGCCGGCCUGAGAGGGCGACCGGCCACAGUGGGCUAAGAUACGGCCCCAACUGCUGCGGGAGGCAGCAGUGGUGAAUAGUGCAGAAAGGGGGGAACGCUGGUGCAGCGGCGCCGCGUGCGGGAUGACGGCCUUCGGGUUGUAAACCGCGUUCAGCCAUGACGCGGUAGUGGCAGAAGAAGCACCGGCUAACUACGGGCCAGCAGCCGGGGUAAUAC